GAUGAACGCUAGCGACAGGCUUAACACAUGCGAGUCGAGGGGCAGCAUAAAAGUAGCAAUACUUUGGUGGCGACCGGCGCACGGGUGAGUAACGCGUAUGCAACCUACCUAUCAGAGGGGAAUAACCCGGCGAAAGUCGGACUAAUACCGCAUAAAACAGGGGCACCGCAUGGUGAUAUUUGUUAAAGAAAUUCGCUGAUAGAUGGGCAUGCGUUCCAUUAGGUAGUUGGUGAGGUAACGGCUCACCAAGCCGACGAUGGAUAGGGGAACUGAGAGGUUGGUCCCCCACACUGGUACUGAGACACGGACCAGACUCCUACGGGAGGCAGCAGUGAGGGAUAUUGGUCAAUGGGCGGGAGCCUGAACCAGCCAAGUCGCGUGAAGGAAGAAGGAUCUAUGGUUCGUAAACUUCUUUUGCAGGGGAAUAAAGUGCGGGACGUGUCCUGUUUUGUAUGUACCCUGAGAAUAAGGAUCGGCUAACUCCGUGCCAGCCGCCGCUGUAA
rnacentral:rRNA from 1 species